CUGAGCCUCAGUUUCCUCAUCAGAACAAUGGGCCUGUACACUAAGCAUUAUCCACCCCAAAUCCUAGAAGCCUGCCUUCUCCUCCUGGCUCUGGGAAGUUGACCAUUGGAGGCCUGGGACACUGGCCUGUCUGGAGGCUGGGGAAGUAUGAGACGACCCCUUCUUCCCUUCCCUGCGCCCAGAAGGCCUGACUUGUCCUACUGCACCCCUCCCAUCACAGUGAUCUGUGUGGGCUCAUAACAACAUAAGCUAGACGGUGAUCCUGUAUCACCUUCCUGCAUUCUGGGAGGCUCGGCCUCCAACUCCCAGACCAGGGAAUGGUCUCCACUCCUCCAAUCCUUCCCAGGUUCAGAAGCAGGAAUGGGGGAAGUCCUGCCUGUCCCCUCUCUGACUUUACUUUCCCUUUCUAGAGCAGGGGUAUUCUGGGAUGGGAGGACUGAGUGUCCCUGCUGCCUGGUCCUCAGAGUUGGCUAGCUCCCCCCAUGCCCCUCAUUCCCCCGCCUGCUCGCCUGUAGAGCUGUGGCCCGGGCAGCUGUCCGGCUGAGUGGGUUAGCAACACAAGACAGAUGGCGAGGGAUUAUCUCAGCUUCUCAGAGCACGAUGGUGGCAGCGGCGGGGGUGGGGGGAAGGCUCUCACACCCUCCCCAUGUGUGUGUACACACACACACACAAAUGCACACAUGCAGCUCCCCGCUCCUGCCCCAGACCCAGCCCAGCCUCCUGCUAUUUAUGAGGCGGGCAGGAAGACAAGAGGAGAGAUGAGAUUAUGAGAAUUGGUGAGAACCGUGGGACUUGGCAAUCUUGUCCCUGCCCCACUUGGCUCCCAGACCACAGGCUGAACCAGCUUCUCAGGCCCUUCUUGGACCCUGCCCCUGCUAUUGUGAUUUCUCUGCAGCUGCCACCACUGGGAAUGGUACAUUCAGGAGGGCAUGGUUUUACAGAGAAGUUUGAGGCCCAGAGAUGUGCGAGCUGCACUCAAAGUCACACAGCAAGUUUGGUUCAUUAGCAGGGUAAGUUCUGGGGGGUGGCAGGUGGUGGAGUCUCUUAGCUGUCCUGGCACUGGCUGUGGGGUCCUUGGGUCUUCUGCAAACAAGGUGUUUGCCCUAGCACUUGAUGCUGCAGCCCAAGGUCCCACAGGGGCAUGUCACAAGGCCAGCUGCUGGCACGCAAGUACUCACAGGCACAGCCUCUUGUUCAUAUACACUGUCAGGCUCUGGGUGAAGGCUAUGUAGAGUUGAGUGACAGAGCUGGGUCUCCAGGCUGUUUACCUGCUCCUGCCCCCUCAAACCAUUGAAUCAGCCCCUCUCUUGCUAUUGGAUGAGAGGGGUUGCCAGGACCAAGCCCCUCCUCCCCACCGCCAAGGUGACCACACGUCUAGGUAUCAGGGGUGGUGGGCCCACUGCAGAGCGCUAGGCCGAACUCAUCUCCUGGAUCCAGGCCAAGCUCCACCUCUCUGUCUCUCCAGACUCAAGUUGGUCAUUUGUAUCGUGAAAGCUGGACAAAACUAUAUCUAAGCUCCCCAUCUUCCCUCAAAGCUUGGCCUGGGGAGCCCUACAUGAAACCUUGGAGCUUCUGAGCCUUCCCCCACCCCCAGCGGGGGGCUUUUCGUUCUGUGAAGGUCUCA
rnacentral:lncRNA from 10 species